rnacentral:rRNA from 1 species
AUGGCGCUUGCUCCCCGGUCGUCUCUUCGCUCGCUGGUGCUGCUCAUGUCGCACGGGAAGCCCCAGCUGAGCGCUUUUUUCUCCUCCGCCGCCACCACCGCCGCGCCCAAGGCCGCGAAGCCUCCAGCAGCUCCAGCCGGUGAUAGUCCGGCCACCGACCCUCCAGCCGCUGCAGCUUCGUCGUCUGGAUCUGGCUCGACUCACAGCGCCCCUCUGGAAUGCCCAAGCAGAAGAUUUAGACAUGUUGAACUUGAACCUGAACCUGAGGGCUCAUAUCACACACUUGGACAUGAAACUGACAAGAUUCCGCCUGGCGCCACCAAGGAUCCGGAGGGCCCAAUAUCCGAGGGCUCAUGCGGCACGCCUCAACCUGUAUCGGACGAUCCACAGCCUGGACCUCGCAAAGACCCGAGGCACAGAGUUCCUGAAGACCCGUAG